GAGCAUCCUUCCCCCCAACUGGCCCUCCUUGGGGCAGAAUGUAGGCUAGCUUGCCUUCCCAGGUGUUUACACAGUUCCCGUUGUAAACAACAGUUAUCCCUGCUUAACGGCUUUUGAAGGAGAAUGUCAUUUGCAGCAGACUGGAGACCCUUAGGCAAUCCUGCCUACACCCCCAGCCUGCCCAUCAUGACCAUUUUUACCCAUAAUAGUUGGCCUGUUGAAACAGCCAUUUAUUUUUCUGAGAGAGAAGUCCCAUGGUCUUCUGUGUGUCAAAGCAAAGUCAUAUUUUGGAGAGAGACUCCAUAUGCCUCAAAAGAAAAACUACAAAGAUCAUUACAACAGCAUGCCCAUCUUUGCUUGUUAACAUAGUUCACCAGUAGCAGGCCAGAAAAAAGCAGACAAUGAUCAAAUACGAUAGACCAACGCACUGAAACAUCAACCCACCAUGAAUCUCCUGACUAUUGUCCCAAAGCACAGUAUUACUAUCAGGAAACAAGGCCAGUAUGACAGGCUUCUCAUCCUUAACAAAGAUUAAUCAAUUUGUUCCAUUUCUCCUAUCCAUCAUGAAGACCCAGUGUCCCUUCUUUGCAGGAA